rnacentral:lncRNA from 10 species
CCCAGGUGAGGGAGCAAGAGAACAAGGUUAAGAGAGGUGCAGGAAACCUGAACACACAGUUGAGUUACGACCGAGAGCCCUCACUCUAGAGGAACUCAAGUCUUGAGCCAGUAGCACUCCCAUUCCUUCUCCUCUGGGCCCCUAGGAUGGCUCAUAGCCUUGGGCCAUCUUCCAGCCAGCCCGUAGGCUUUCCUCAGCGUUGACUUCCUCCACCAGUUGAACAGUUGCUGUAUCACUGAGAACCUUUGUCCUGUUGGUUUUCUUCAUGACUCCAUAUUAGCUGAAGCUUUUGCACACAAGACAAGCACAUUUAUUGAGCAUCAUUUUCCUAAUAUUAACUGAAUUAUGCACAAACAGGCAAUCAGAAGUUUGAUUCACACAAAUGUGAUGCUAGCACAAAGAGGGCUAGCUGGAACACAGGGCCCUAGCACUUGGGCCCUGCCCCACAGGGAUGAUUUCAGGGACUGAGACCAAAAGAACUGUUCAAAUGUCUUCUUGGAAGGCCUUUUACACAGAGGCAUGCAGUCUCAUUCAGUGCCAAGGUAGAAACAGAAACGCAGAGGAUGGAGCAGGCAGAAGCUGAGAGUAAACCAAGAGGAAGCCAAAAGGCAGAGAGGAAAGUAGAGGGAGAAUGCGUGAGUCAGUGAAAGAGCAGAAGUGGCAGAGACGGAGAAGCCAACUGAGGGGCUGAGGCACCAGGGAGGCAGUUUCUGUGGGACAGUGGGAGAGUCCAUUACUGGUGGGAAGGACGGAUGGACUGGAAUUCAGCCAUGAGGCUGCAGGACCUUCCUGCUUGGAUUCCUGCUCGUCUGGACUUACCAUCAUAAAACACUGUGGAUAGGACAGAGCAGAGGGGCCAGGGAGUUGAGGAGGAGUGUCAAGUCCUCAAAACAGGACUCAAUUUUUGUGAAGGACUGUGAGGACUUAACAAUAUCACAUAUGUGAAUUCAAAUGCAAACAAUCAAACAUUCUGGAAUAAAAGACAUACACAUGCUUUUCAGAUUAUCCAUGGUUUAUGUUAUGGGCUCCUUUAUUCCUUCUCCUGUCACUCUGAGUUGAAGAAAGUAGUAGGUAAUUAUACUUGUUUUCAUUUAAGAGAACUGGGCAUGGAUGGAAGGUGCAGAAGAAACAAAUUUCCAGAUCUCAUUAAGGCAGCCACAGAUCCAGUAAGGAUAAAUGUGUGACUGACUUUUCCAUACAGAUUCUAAAACCAUCAUGUAGAGGACAAAAGUGAUUUGCUUCUAAUAAUCACGAUUCUAAUUUUUCUGUUCCAUUUAUUUUACCAAAAGCCAAAAUACUACCAAAUGACCAAAAUCACACAGAUAAAUCCUCUUUAAUUUCAGUAUUCGCUGGUACCACCUGUGUGAUACUAUUUUUUAAUCAUUUUUCUAAUUUUCUAACCUGAAUCCUAUCUCACUAGCCACAUUUAUGUUGCCAUUCAGCAAUAACAGAGAAGGUGAUAUUCAGAAGUAUUAAAGAGUUGGACUCUGAAGCUUCCAGCAAGAUGUGAAUUUGCCAUCAUGGGCUUGUAAUGAAAAAAUAUAUAAAAGCUGCCCCCCAGCUAAUGGGAAAAUAAAUUGGAAUUGUAUUGGGAAAGUACCCAAAAGAACUGUCCUUAAAUGAGAAUUGGGUUUUUAUUAGAAAAAUCUGAUAACAGUAAAAAAACAACAUUAGCUCCCCCCAUCAUCUAGUGGUCUUCAUGUGUUACUGUUUCAUCGCCCUCGUAUAAAAGGACAUUCCACUCGAGUAUCUCUCAAAUGUUUUCAUAAUUAUGAAAGUAUCUUCUGUCCAGCAACCUGAAAUAAUUUCUCAU